ACUCCUACGGGAGGCAGCAGUGGGGAAUAUUGGACAAUGGACCAAAAGUCUGAUCCAGCAAUUCUGUGUGUUUGAUGAAGGCCUUCGGGUUGUAAAGAACUUUCAGUGGGGAAGAAGCAAGUGACGGUACCCACAGAAGAAGCGACGGCUAAAUACGUGCCAGCAGCCGCGGUAAUACGUAUGUCGCAAGCGUUAUCCGGAAUUAUUGGGCAUAAAGGGCGUCUAGGCGGUCUAAUAAGUCUGAUGUGAAAAUGCGGGGCUCAACUCCGUAUUGCGUUGGAAACUGUUAGACUAGAGUUUUGGAGAGGUAGGCGGAACUACAAGUGUAGAGGUGAAAUUCGUAGAGAUUUGUAGGAAUGCCGAUGACGAAGGUAGCUUACUGGACAAAUACUGACGCUGAAGCGCGAAAGCUAGGGGAGCAAACAGGAUUAGAUACCCUGGUAGCACAGAG
rnacentral:rRNA from 1 species